rnacentral:rRNA from 1 species
ACGGGUGUAUAACACGUGGGCAAUCUGCCCUUCACUCUGGGACAAGCCCUGGAAACGGGGUCUAAUACCGGAUAUCACUUCCGCAGGCAUCUGUGGGGGUUGAAAGCUCCGGCGGUGAAGGAUGAGCCCGCGGCCUAUCAGCUUGUUGGUGAGGUAAUGGCUCACCAAGGCGACGACGGGUAGCCGGCCUGAGAGGGCGACCGGCCACACUGGGACUGAGACACGGCCCAGACUCCUACGGGAGGCAGCAGUGGGGAAUAUUGCACAAUGGGCGAAAGCCUGAUGCAGCGACGCCGCGUGAGGGAUGACGGCCUUCGGGUUGUAAACCUCUUUCAGCAGGGAAGAAGCGAAAGUGACGGUACCUGCAGAAGAAGCGCCGGCUAACUACGUGCCAGCAGCCGCGGUAAUACGUAGGGCGCAAGCGUUGUCCGGAAUUAUUGGGCGUAAAGAGCUCGUAGGCGGUCUGUCGCGUCGGAUGUGAAAGCCCGGGGCUUAACCCCGGGUCUGCAUUCGAUACGGGCAGACUAGAGUGUGGUAGGGGAGAUCGGAAUUCCUGGUGUAGCGGUGAAAUGCGCAGA